rnacentral:lncRNA from 1 species
GUAAUCUCUUCUGAAGGCGCAGAUUUCGAAAUCAUUAUUUCAAAUUGCCUUGUACCAUCUUUCUCUCAGCCGUCCUUUCACAUUCGACGGCCACAAUCUCCGAGACAUUCCUUUUUAUCUCUUAUGCGACAUUUCUUAGGUCUGCCGUCUCGUCAUCAUUAAAGACGUUUCAGGAAUUCCAUCCGACGACCCUUUUCUUUUGUCUCGUCUCCUCUAAUGGCUCCGCUUCCUUCUCUUCCUUCUUCUCCAUCUCUCGAUUAUACAUUACUUUGACAAUUCGUUCCGUCAAACCCUUCUCGAUUUAUUUUAGGUCCUUCGUUUACAGAU